rnacentral:rRNA from 1 species
AUAAUGGGUCAGCGACUUAUAUUCUGUAGCAAGGUUAACCGAAUAGGGGAGCCGAAGGGAAACCGAGUCUUAACUGGGCGUUAAGUUGCAGGGUAUAGACCCGAAACCCGGUGAUCUAGCCAUGGGCAGGUUGAAGGUUGGGUAACACUAACUGGAGGACCGAACCGACUAAUGUUGAAAAAUUAGCGGAUGACUUGUGGCUGGGGGUGAAAGGCCAAUCAAACCGGGAGAUAGCUGGUUCUCCCCGAAAGCUAUUUAGGUAGCGCCUCGUGAAUUCAUCUCCGGGGGUAGAGCACUGUUUCGGCAAGGGGGUCAUCCCGACUUACCAACCCGAUGCAAACUGCGAAUACCGGAGAAUGUUAUCACGGGAGACACACGGCGGGUGCUAACGUCCGUCGUGAAGAGGGAAACAACCCAGACCGCCAGCUAAGGUCCCAAAGUCAUGGUUAAGUGGGAAACGAUGUGGGAAGGCCCAGACAGCCAGGAUGUUGGCUUAGAAGCAGCCAUCAUUUAAAGAAAGCGUAAUAGCUCACUGGUCGAGUCGGCCUGCGCGGAAGAUGUAACGGGGCUAAACCAUGCACCGAAGCUGCGGCAGCGACGCUUAUGCGUUGUUGGGUAGGGGAGC